GAGGGUCGUCUGAAUACUCUCCACUUCCAGCCGCCUCAUUUCGCUCUCCUCAAGCUAAAUGGCGACACGGAGAGAGAGAGCGUGAAUGUAUCUCGACCUGAGCAGAAGGUGACAGCGCGGAGUAAGGUGAAUGUAUAGGAAAUCUUCCCUGCAGCAGGAUGCAUAAUGAUAAGCAAAAAACCAUCAUCAUCUGUAGGAGAGCAUAAAAAGAUAAAUAGCACAAAAUAACAGAGGCUUCCCAACUAUCUUCUGUUGAAUAAAUCAACCAGAGUUUGGUAGUUUAAACCUUCUGCCGGAGGGAGGACACUGAAAUUCUUCAUCGAUUAGAUGAAGACGACACUCCAGUAUGACUUUCCUCACAACCUGCAGGUUAUAUACUCUGUCAGCUAGCUGCUUCAGCUUAACAUCAGUAAACUUCAACACCUCAACCAUAUUCUACAAUUUGCUACGACGGGGGACUCGAGAGAGAGACCGCAUGGGUAGCCGAGCUAGCUCUACCGCUAGUGAGCUAAUCUGCUAGCAUGUUCACUGCUGGCUCACCACUCUUGGCUGUGCGAGCUGUUAUUAAAAUAUUAUCUCACGGACCACACUGGCUUUUGUUUUUUGACAAUGUUUUUAUUAUAAAAUGUUACAACAGAUACAUUUCAGUAGGAAUGGGUUGAUUGAAAAUGACGCUUGUUGUCUUUUUAUUACAGCGGCAUUGAGCUGUGUCCGUGUGUGUGUCUGACAGACCCACACAUUAAACAAUUUGAGGGAAAUUUCUCUGAUAAUUCAACUGUAACCCAGAAUUCGGAGUAACUUAAAUAUAAGGGUUCUUUAAAAAAUAAGAUUUACUGGAAAUGAUGAGGUUAUAAUGUGAUAUUUUGGAGGAAAGUCUGCGCUUGUGUCUCUCAGAAUCAUAAUUGUUUUUACAUUUGAAAACGUUUGCAUUGAAUCCAUUUGAAUGGCAGUGAGAAAGUUCUGCGUUGUCAAAUCUAAACCGAGGUGAAAGAAUAAAGAAACGCUUUGCUGGAA